rnacentral:rRNA from 1 species
GAUGAACGCUGGCGGCGUGCCUAAUACAUGCAAGUCGAACGGAAAGGCCACUUUGGGGCUACUCGAGUGGUGAACGGGUGAGUAACACGAGAGUAACCUGAACCUGACUUUGGGACAACUUCAGGUUACUGGGGCUAAUACUGGUACCGAAUCAUUGCUGCAAGGUGGGGGUUCGAAAGUUUCGGCGGUUUUGGAUGGGCUGGAGGCAUAUCGGCUUGCCGCAGGAGCUAUGGCUUACCAAAGCGUCUUCGGGUAGCCGGCCUGCGUAGCCGACCGGCCACAUAGAGACUGAGGGACGGCCGAGACAGCGACGGGAGGCAGCAGUGGGGAAGAUUGCAGGAUGAGCGGAAGCCUGGUGCAGCAGCGCCGCGUGCGGGAUGACGGCCUUCGGGUUGUAGACCGCUUUCGUCAGGAGCUAUGCUUGUGGUGACGGUACCUGCAGAGAAAGCACCGGCUAACUACGUG